UUAACUGAAAGGGGGGCGUUUACCACGGUAUGAUUCAUGACUGGGGUGAAGUCGUAACAAGGUAACCGUAGGGGAACCUGCGGUUGGAUCACCUCCUUACCAAAAUGAAGC
rnacentral:rRNA from 1 species